GGAGAGAACGAGAUGUGAUAGGGAGAGGGGAGGGGGCAGGAGACAGCAAGAGAGCACAAGAGCAAGAAGGCAAGGGAGAGACAAAGCUGCAGGUUGGUCCUUUCACAGCCUCUGUGCAGCUGAACCAGGUACGUCUAUCUAGCGGGUGACACAUGAUGACAUCAUAGGUUACUAGGCAACCCAGAAGCCUAAACACUAACAGUUAUUCCAUUGCUGCAUAGCAACUGUGCAUCAGGCCCCUGCUCCCCUCUCAGGUCCAUUGGUUGUCACACCCCUCUGAUGGUGAUAAGCCUCGGGAGCACCCAUGAGUGCUGAUACUGGUGCUAGCUGUGGGAAAGGCCUGGCUCUUGACAUGCAGAGCACGUUCUGUUACUUCACACCCCAGGUUUUGGGUAAGGUGGUAUGUCAAGUUCUAGGCAUGUGCUGGGGGCAUGCUUCUCCUCUGUGCUGCAUAAACACAGCAAGAACUUGCCUUUGCCACAUUCUGUCUAACAACCCCUCCCCCUGUGGCAAUCAUUUCUUCAGGCCUGUAUUCCGUGGUAUCAGAAGGAGGGAAAUGUCUGUAGCCUCUCUUCACAAAGCCUGACGACACGAAGCCAUGGAGCAAGAGAGCAGCCAAGGCUGUCUCUACACUAUCCACAGGGCCCCGCUUCUCCUUCAGGACCUGCAGUCAUGUAGACUGACCUCCGGAGCUAUUCUCAUCAGUGAGCAAACACUCUCGACUGAUAGGAUGUCAACCCAAAUUUAGACUAGGACUCUCAACUAAGGAAGAAUAGACCUUGAAACGCGAAAAGGAAACUAUCAUUAUCCGUAAACUGUGCCCGACUCCAGGCUGCUGAAGUGGAAGGCACUGGGGUGGAGAAUCAGCUCAGCAGUUAAGAGAGCGAUCUGCUCUCUCAGAGGACAUGGGUUUGGUUCCCAGCACCCACGUCAGGUGGCUCACAACCUUCCAUAACUCCAGCUCCAGGGAAUCCCUCUUCUGGACACUUGUGGGACCCCGUAUACAUGUGGCAUACACUCACAUGGAUGCAAACAUACAGAAAUGACAGCGAGGGGAGUCUUCAAGAGAAAGCCUAGGCUAACAAAGACCCCCCCCUCUUUAGCGGGUACAGUACCGUUAUAAAAUGAACUCAUAGGCCUUCCUCCGAGCGGGCACUCUACUGUUGAGUGUGCUCUUGGGACUUUUUCCUAUAAUGUAUAUCAAAAUAUCAGACCAAAAAGUAAUAAAGGCGUCGCUGAUGUGGGUAACCACAGUCAUGCA